GAUGAAGAACGUAGCGAAAUGCGAUAGGUAAUGUGAAUUGCAGAAUUCAGUGAAUCAUCGAAUCUUUGAACGCACAUUGCGCCCAUUAGUAUUCUAGUGGGCAUGCCUGUUCGAGCGUCAUUAAGUCCACUUAAGCCUAGCUUAGUGUUGGGAGACUGCUCCAGUGGUGCUACCCUGUAGCUACCCUGCAGCUCCUUAAAGACAGCGGCGGAGUCGUGUUAUCCUCUGAGCUUAGUAAAUCAUUCUAGCUUUCGAGAGUAUCACUUCACCUGCCGUUAAACCACCUAAUUUUUAUGGUUGACCUCGGAUCAGGUAGGAAUACCCGCUGAACUUAAGCAUAUCAAUAAGCGGAGGA
rnacentral:misc_RNA from 1 species